UCGACCGCCUGGGGAGUACGGCCGCAAGGUUAAAACUCAAAUGAAUUGACGGGGGCCCGCACAAGCGGUGGAGCAUGUGGUUUAAUUCGAUGCAACGCGAAGAACCUUACCUGGUCUUGACAUCCACGGAAGUUUUCAGAGAUGAGAAUGUGCCUUCGGGAACCGUGAGACAGGUGCUGCAUGGCUGUCGUCAGCUCGUGUUGUGAAAUGUUGGGUUAAGUCCCGCAACGAGCGCAACCCUUAUCCUUUGUUGCCAGCGGUCCGGCCGGGAACUCAAAGGAGACUGCCAGUGAUAAACUGGAGGAAGGUGGGGAUGACGUCAAGUCAUCAUGGCCCUUACGACCAGGGCUACACACGUGCUACAAUGGCGCAUACAAAGAGAAGCGAACUCGCGAGAGCAAGCGGACCUCAUAAAGUGCGUCGUAGUCCGGAUUGGAGUCUGCAACUCGACUCCAUGAAGUCGGAAUCGCUAGUAAUCGUGGAUCAGAAUGCCACGGUGAAUACGUUCCCGGGCCUUGUACACACCGCCCGUCACACCAUGGGAGUGGGUUGCAAAAGAAGUAGGUAGCUUAACCUUCGGGAGGGCGCUUACCACUUUGUGAUCCAUGACUGGGGUGAAGUCGUAACAAGGUAACCGUAGGGGAACCUGCGGUUGGAUCACCUCCUUACCUUAAAGAA
rnacentral:rRNA from 1 species